ACAGGCAUACCUCCCUGAAUGUGCCAGAUUUUGUCUGAUCUUGGAAGCUAAGCAGUGUCGGGCCUGGUUAGUACUUGGAUGGGAGACAGGAAAGCUUAAGGAGGCUUGGC
rnacentral:rRNA from 1 species